CUCUCGUCUGGGUGCUACUGAACACUUACUGUGGUUGUUUGAGGAUCUGCCCUUGGAGUGCCACAACAAAAGCCUCUUGGAGAGAAUGGGGGCCAAAGGGAAAUGUGUACUUCUGCCUCCCAUCUCUCAUCCCCAGACUCCUGCACUCGCUUAAGCUGCUGGUGAAGGGCUGCAAGGAUUUUCAAGAUUUGGAGAAAGCCAAGGGUUCACCUGUGAGUCCCUAA
rnacentral:lncRNA from 1 species